AUUGAACGCUGGCGGCAUGCUUUACACAUGCAAGUCGAACGGUAACAGGCCGCAAGGUGCUGACGAGUGGCGAACGGGUGCGUAAUGCAUCGGAACGUGCCCAGUCGUGGGGUAUAACUACUCGAAAGAGUAGCUAAUACCGCAUACGAUCUAUGGAUGAAAGCGGGGUACCGUAAGGCCUCGCGCGAUUGGAGCGGCCGAUGUCAGAUUAGGUAGUUGGUGGGGUAAAAGCGCACCAAGCCAACGAUCUGUAGCUGGUCUGAGAGGACGACCAGCCACACUGGGACUGAGACACGGCCCAGACUCCUACGGGAGGCAGCAGUGGGGAAUUUUAGACAAUGGGCGCAAGCCUGAUCCAGCAAUGCCGCGUGCAGGAAGAAGGCCUUCGGGUUGUAAACUGCUUUUGUACGGAACGAAACGGCUCUGGUUAAUACCCGGAGCUAAUGACGGUACCGGAAGAAUAAGCACCGGCUAACUACGUG
rnacentral:rRNA from 1 species